rnacentral:lncRNA from 14 species
GCAGCUAAAAGGACUUGCAUUUUUAUAUGUACCCGUGGGUCUAGUGUUGGAGGAACCGUAUCCAACAUGGGAAUCAACUGAGCUCAGCUUGCUUUAAAAAAAAAAACAGAAAUUUUUUAAAUGUGAAUUCAGACUAAUUUUUCAGAUUGAGCCUGUUACAAAACCAAGGGUAGGUGAAGCCAUUGGGCUCACAAGCACAAGAAAAUUACUACAGAAACGUGAGUUUUCGAGAGCUCCUUAAGUCUCCAUCUAAUUGGAUGGGGAGAGUGCGAUGUUCCGUUACCUUCCGGUGGUCUGUUGGACGUUGCCACAACGACGACCCCGUUUUUGAACAGAUUUUCAAAAAGCUGUUUCAGAAUCAUGGCGUCAGCGAUGUCAGUGACCUGAAAUUCAUCAAAACACAGGAGACUAGCCUCUUGGCUGAUUUCCUCCGCUAUGGGCGCUAUCGGGUCGUACGACUUAGCCAUGAAUCCCACCUUCCUUUUCGGCAAACUCUGUUUAAGGCGGUGUAUCCCUUAGAUGAUGGAAAUAAAACAGACGGAAUGUUGUAUUAAUAGAAAAAUUUAAGGAAUCAGAACGUAUUUUUAAUCUCUAAAUGAAAGUUAACUUGGACAUAAAAAUUAAAUUUAAAUUCCGCACGCAAUCGAGUUUAAUCACCCCAAUUCCACUAUUGGAAGGAGUUGCACUGUGUCUACUUCGAAACAAGUUAUUCAAAUAUAAUCUCAGAACUGCAAGGGAAAUUCAAAGUCAUUCAUCUCGUUUGCAAUCAGUGUGUGGGCGGCAGUGAUAGGCGGCCAGAUGCCAGAUGAGGAAUGGAUGGUCCUGAGGUUGAAGGGCAGGGAGCAGAGGCUGGAAAUCGGCCUGGGAAGUACACAUCUCGUCCGGCAUAUCUGAUCAGAAGGCUCUCUUGUCUCCAACCCAAAACUCAAGCCAUCCUUAUUCACGAUAUUCACCCCAAACACUAAAAGUGCCCGUGGGCAGAGGC